UAAAACAAAAAAAGACAAUGAAAACAAUGUUCAUAAAUACAUAUUGGUGGUGGCACCCGUUGAUACUCCGACAGUCGUAGGGAGCAGUGCUCGUAUGUAUAUAUGUGAUAUAUAAUAGAAAUAAGAAAGAGCCCUGUC
rnacentral:ncRNA from 1 species